rnacentral:tRNA from 1 species
GCGUUCGUGGUCUAGGGGUGAUGAUCCAUCCUUCCCACUUAAAGAUAGAGGAUGGGACCCGGGUUCGAGUCCCGGCGGACGCA